rnacentral:piRNA from 1 species
UCACUGUUGCCAAGUGAUCUACUGAAUUUU